rnacentral:rRNA from 1 species
GAUGAACGCUGGCGGCGUGCUUAACACAUGCAAGUCGAACGAUGAGGCCCAGCUUGCUGGGUGGAUUAGUGGCGAACGGGUGAGUAACACGUGAGUAACCUGCCCUUAACUCUGGGAUAAGCCUGGGAAACUGGGUCUAAUACCGGAUAGGAGCGCCUACCGCAUGGUGGGUGUUGGAAAGAUUUAUCGGUUUUGGAUGGACUCGCGGCCUAUCAGCUUGUUGGUGAGGUAAUGGCUCACCAAGGCGACGACGGGUAGCCGGCCUGAGAGGGUGACCGGCGACACUGGGACUGAGACACGGCCCAGACUCCUACGGGAGGCAGCAGUGGGGAAUAUUGCACAAUGGGCGAAAGCCUGAUGCAGCGACGCCGCGUGAGGGAUGACGGCCUUCGGGUUGUAAACCUCUUUCAGUAGGGAAGAAGCGAAAGUGACGGUACCUGCAGAAGAAGCACCGGCUAACUACGUG